rnacentral:rRNA from 1 species
AUUGAACGCUGGCGGCAGGCUUAACGCAUGCAAGUCGAGCGGAGAGAGGUAGCUUGCUACUGAUCUUAGCGGCGGACGGGUGAGUAAUGCUUAGGAAUCUGCCUAUUAGUGGGGGACAACAUUUCGAAAGGAAUGCUAAUACCGCAUACGUCCUACGGGAGAAAGCAGGGGAUCUUCGGACCUUGCGCUAAUAGAUGAGCCUAAGUCGGAUUAGCUAGUUGGUGGGGUAAAGGCCUACCAAGGCGACGAUCUGUAGCGGGUCUGAGAGGAUGAUCGGCCACACUGGGACUGGGACACGGCCCAGAAUCCUACGGGAGGCAGCGGUGGGGAAUAUUGGACAAUGGGCGCAAGCCUGAUCCAGCCAUGCCGCGUGUGUGAAGAAGGCCUUAUGGUUGUAAAGCACUUUAAGCGAGGAGGAGGCUACUGAGACUAAUACUCUUGGAUAGUGGACGUUACUCGCAGAAUAAGCACCGGCUAACUCUGUGCCAGCCGCCGCAGUAAGAC